rnacentral:rRNA from 1 species
GGCGAACGGGUGAGUAAUGUAUCGGAACGUGCCCAGUUGUGGGGGAUAACUGCUCGAAAGAGCAGCUAAUACCGCAUACGACCUGAGGGUGAAAGCGGGGGAUCGCAAGACCUCGCGCAAUUGGAGCGGCCGAUAUCAGAUUAGGUAGUUGGUGGGGUAAAGGCUCACCAAGCCGACGAUCUGUAGCUGGUCUGAGAGGACGACCAGCCACACUGGGACUGAGACACGGCCCAGACUCCUACGGGAGGCAGCAGUGGGGAAUUUUGGACAAUGGGCGCAAGCCUGAUCCAGCCAUGCCGCGUGCGGAAAGAAGGCCUUCGGGUUGUAAACCGCUUUUGUCAGGGAAGAAAAGGCUCCUGUUAAUACCGGGGGCUCAUGACGGUACCUGAAGAAUAAGCACCGGCUAACUACGUGCCAGCAGCCGCGGUAAUACGUAGGGUGCAAGCGUUAAUCGGAAUUACUGGGCGUAAAGCGUGCGCAGGCGGUUAUGUAAGA